UGAAAACAGCUCUAUCACAUUAAUUUUCCAACAUGGCUACUGGACAGGUAAGCUUGCUGAAACAUUGGAUUGUACCACCAUUUAUAUAUUAUUUGUUAUAUUUUCCUCCAUUUGAAUUAUCACCUUUAUACUGCAUGGACCUACUAAGUUUUUUAGUUACAACAACUGUAUGCAUCUUGCUGCACCCUGCAUACAACAUUGUAGUCGGCAGAAAAGAAGCUGCAGAAAACUAGAGCAGCUUAAUUUAGAUAAUUUAUUGUUAACUUGUUAAGAAAGUAUCUUGCUUAUUCAGAUUUUCUUAUUUUCCAAAUUCCUAUGCAGUUCACUGCUGAGGUAGCAUUCAUUUUUGCCGAAACUCGUGCUUGCAUGUUAGCACUAAAUUAGGAUGCUCUUUCACAAUUCUGUUGCAUGGUGACAAUGGUUAGUCUUUCACCUAAUUGACUAUGACUAAGUGCUCUUGGUGUCAAUUCUUAAAAGUUCUGAAAUAUUUAUUCUGUACUUUGGAUUACUCGUAUUCCGCAUGUCUUCUAUGGGUUCUACAAACUCCAGUGCUAGCGAAUAUGCUUGGGAGCACUUUAUGUCAAUGGUUAUGGAAAAUCUGUAUAUAAUGCCAUACUGGUUUAGUGGCUGUGUUUCUUGUGAGAUUUAGCUUGUUCAAAUAUACAGAAGAUUUGGUAACACACAAAUUAUUUAAAGUGUUUUGUUAAUCCGGUGCAGGAUCCAUCAAUGUCAACAAACGGUCUUAUCUGGAAGAUAUCAUUUAGACGUGACAUGUCUACAAUUGAUGUCAUGGAUUAUUCAGUAGUUCAAAAUUCCUCUUGUGAGAUCAGUUUUGUUGGUAUUCUAGAACUUUGUAUCAUUCUUAUUUUCCCCUGAAUUUAUGGGCUCUAAGACCUCCAGUGUUAGCGAAUAUUCUGCAGAGUAUUUUCAGUGGUUACGAAAAUCUGUAGAUAAUGGCCACCAGUUUUCAGUGGUCAUGUGAAAUCCAGACUUAGUGCCCACCUUAUUUAGCGAGAAGCGUACAUGAAUAUUUCUGGCAAGACUUAGUUUUGAAAUAUGCAGAAGAUCUGGCAACACAUAGUUUUUAGCGUUGCUUUGUUAACCUGGUAUAGGUCCAUCAAUGCCAGUGAACGGAGUUACCUGGAAACAUGGAUGAUUCAAUAACUCAAUCAGAAAAUUCCUCAAUUUGUUUUGUUGGUGUCACACACAAUAAAACUUUACCUCGGAUUUACUGUCAAGCUGGCCUGGUAAAGCGUCCAGAGAAGGCAAAUAAUAUCUUUCAGGUCAAUCUGGAGACUAAAUUUACUUGCAGCUCAGGCAUUGCAAGAACACCAACACAUGAAGUUGCAUCUACUGACGCAAACUUGUUAAUUGUGGGAAGAUCAAGGAGUACAUAUGACAUAUAACAGAUCCCUCCGAGGUGCAAACUACUGCUGUGUGUAUCCUCCAAACAACUGAUCUCAGUGAGUGCUAGGCUGUCACAAAGUAGUACUCAAUUUCACAGUUGUGACCAUUUUAGGAAUCCAUUUGAGGUGCAAACUACUGCUCCAUGAAUGUUACAAAUAACUGAUCAGUAACUGCCUAAUGAGGGCUCCUUUGAUUCAUAGGAUUUGUAAAGGAAUUGUGUAGGAUUUGGAUCCUAUGGGAAAUUUUCCUAUACAAGUUGUUUGAUUUAUAGGAACACAUCCUAUAGGCAAUAAUCCUAUAGGAAUCUUGUAGUGCAAUUCCUAUAGGAAAA